CAGCAUCCAACUUACAAGCUGCCUUAA
rnacentral:sRNA from 1 species